rnacentral:tRNA from 1 species
AUAUAUAUAAAUAUAAAUUAAGUAUGUAAAUUUUGGAGAUUUAUUGAGAUAAAAUCUUUU